UACGGAGGAUGCAAGCGUUGUCCGGAAUCAUUGGGCGUAAAGGGUCCUGAGGUGGUUUGCUCAGUCCACUGUGAAAGUUCAGGGCUUACCCUUGAAAAUGCGGUGGAAACUAGUAGGCUAGAGUACGGUGGGGGCAGAGGGAAUUCCCGAUGUAGCGGUGAAAUGCAUAGAUAUCGGGAGGAACACCAGUGGCGAAGGCGAUCACCUGGGGAUGUUCUGACGCUGAGGAGCGAAAGCUAGGGGAGCAAACGGG
rnacentral:rRNA from 1 species